rnacentral:rRNA from 1 species
UACGGAGGGUGCAAGCGUUGUUCGGAAUCAUUGGGCGUAAAGCGCGUGUAGGCGGCUUGGCAAGUCGGUUGUGAAAGCCCGGGGCCCAACCCCGGAACUGCAUCUGAAACUGCCUGGCUGGAGUCCCGGAGAGGAAGGCAGAAUUCCCGGUGUAGGGGUGAAAUCCGUAGAUAUCGGGAGGAAUACCAGCGGCGAAGGCGGCCUUCUGGACGGUGACUGACGCUGAGACGCGAAAGCGUGGGGAGCAAACAGG